AUUGAACGUUGGCGGCAGGCCUAACACAUGCAAGUCGAGCGGAUGAAGAGAGCUUGCUCUCUGAUUCAGCGGCGGACGGGUGAGUAAUGCCUAGGAAUCUGCCUGGUAGUGGGGGACAACGUUUCGAAAGGAACGCUAAUACCGCAUACGUCCUACGGGAGAAAGCAGGGGACCUUCGGGCCUUGCGCUAUCAGAUGAGCCUAGGUCGGAUUAGCUAGUUGGUGAGGAAAUGGCUCACCAAGGCGACGAUCCGUAACUGGUCUGAGAGGAUGAUCAGUCACACUGGAACUGAGACACGGUCCAGACUCCUACGGGAGGCAGCAGUGGGGAAUAUUGGACAAUGGGCGAAAGCCUGAUCCAGCCAUGCCGCGUGUGUGAAGAAGGUCUUCGGAUUGUAAAGCACUUUAAGUUGGGAGGAAGGGCAGUAAGUUAAUACCUUGCUGUUUUGACGUUACCGACAGAAUAAGCACCGGCUAACUCUGUGCCAGCCGCCGCCGUAACAC
rnacentral:rRNA from 1 species